rnacentral:misc_RNA from 1 species
AACCAUAGAAACCUGCGGAGUACCUGCGGAAGGAUCAUUACAGAGUUGCAAAACUCCCUAAACCAUUGUGAACGUUACCUAAACCGUUGCUUCGGCGGGCGGCCCGGGUCCUUCCCGGCGCCCCUCGGCCCUCGCGGGCGCCCGCCGGAGGUAAACCAAACUAUUGCAUUGUAUGGCCUCUCUGAGUCUUCUGUACCGAAUAAGUCAAAACUUUCAACAAUGGAUCUCAGAUCGGAAGAG